AUCAAGAAACUCAGCGAGCAGCUCAGCGCUGUGGACUUUGAGACUGAUGUCGACGACUUACUUGAGGGUGUCGACGUCAAGCUGGAGACUGCUGAAGAGCUCGCGCGUAGUACAGACAUCAGUGAAGCAAAUAAUUACCUGAGGGCUUACGCCCAGUCCAAAUGGGUUGUUUAUAAGUGCUGCCCAAGAAAACAGAACUACCAAUGUGGGGUCAACACUCAACUCUUGCCACCUCAGCGGCACUGGCUCUACGGCUGGUGCUACCCUCUGAGGAAAAUCUUCAUUAGAACAUGCAACUGUGUACAAUGCUCAAGGCUGUGUCCUUACUGCAUCCA
rnacentral:sRNA from 1 species